rnacentral:misc_RNA from 1 species
GAUGAAGAACGUAGCGAAAUGCGAUAAGUAAUGUGAAUUGCAGAAUUCAGUGAAUCAUCGAAUCUUUGAACGCAUAUUGCGCUCUCUGGUAUUCCGGAGAGCAUGCUUGUUUGAGUAUCAGUAAACACCUCAACUUCCAUAUCUUUUUUGAAAUGGGAGUUGGACUUGAGUGAUCCCAACGCUUUUCCUCACCGAAAAGUGGCGGGUUACUUGAAAUGCAGGUGCAGCUGGACUUUUCUCUGAGCUAUAAGCAUAUCUAUUUAGUCUGCCUAAAAAACAGAUUAUUACCUUUGCUGCAGCUAACAUAAAGGAGAUUAGUUCUUGUGCUGACUGAUGCAGGAUUCACAAAGACGGCUUCGGCCGACUUUGUAAACUCGAUCUCAAAUCAAGUAAGACUACCCGCUGAACUUAAGCAUAUCAAUAGCGGAGGA